GCCCUGCGGUGCGCAGCGGCGCGCCCGGUGGUGGCUCUCGGACUGCCGACCGGGAAGCGUCCGCGGACCACUCCAGCCGGGCCUCGGGGCCUCCUUUUUUAUUUUUUUGAAACGGACUCUAGGUGCGGAGUUCUGGCCCCGCGUCUCGGUUGAAGGAUCAGCGCUGCGGUAGGGCUGUUUCCUGACCCCCGCUCAACAGCCACCACCCACACCAAAACCAAACCACCACCAACAACAAAAAAUCCAGCUUUGGGCCCCUCUUUUGGAAUCUCUAGCGCAGCACGGAACUCUUCACCCCGCCACGCAGGGUCCAGACUAGGUGACAGGAAACAUUUGAGGGAAAGACUAUUUGAGGUGGUGCCGUGAGGAAGAAGGACGGUGAUGGAGGCGUGACCGGUCCUCACCCGACCUAGCCAAUGGCCAACGCAAUAGAGAGCCCGCGGUACUGCUCUCAACGCUAUUUAAUCCAGGCCGCCCCUUGCACCCGGAUGUCCUUCCUUGUUGGAAGCUGCCGCUUCACUGCGGGAGAAGAUUCUACGUCACCCUUCCUUGACCCUUCAUCCACCUCAGGAAAGCAUUGGGGUCAACCGCCCUGCUUCUGGUGAAGCUAUUUGCUCCUAAUGCUAAGCAGAUGUACAUGGUUAAUCACUUGAAAGAGAGCCCAGCAGAAGAGAAGGGACAUGUGCUGGAGGGAAGUGCCAGGAGAGCCCAUGGGGACAUACAAGAUUUGGCAGACCUGUGCUCCAGCAAGCUUGAGGCUGUCAUUAUACUGGUGGUUUUGAGUGGCCCAGAACUGCCCUGUCAACAGUUCUGUAAAGGACUCUUUCAAGUUGCAUUUCCCAUGUGCUGGCAGCUAACACCUUCCUGCUUGUGAGGUCACAGUAUGUCAGGAUCAAUGUUGGGCUGUUCUGAUGGCUCUUUGCUGAAUCUCCAGAUUUGCUCCUGUAAGGACACCAGCGGUAACUGGGUAGGUUGACUUGUCUUUGAUAGUAAUGACAACAGAAAGCAGGGAGAAGUGAGAUGGUGACAUCUGAAUGUUGAUGUCUGCUGUUACAUUGAACAAGAUGACUAAACUAAUUGUCAUGACUUCUCUGAAGGUAUU